GGUGGAGUGGCCGAGUGGUUAGGUGAAGGUACGCAAAACCUUUUACGGUGGUUCGAAUCCAUCCUCCCGCCU
rnacentral:tRNA from 1 species